CUCAGUAAGUCGUAACAAGGUAACCAGUAGAGUUUGAUCCUGGCUCAGUAAGUCGUAACAAGGUAACCAGUAGAGUUUGAUCCAGGCUUCGGGAAACCGGAGCUGAUACCGGAUAAUAUUUCGAACCGCAUGGUUCGAUAGUGAAAGAUGGUUUUGCUAUCACUUAUAGAUGGACCCGCGCCGUAUUAGCUAGUUGGUAAGGUAACGGCUUACCAAGGCGACGAUACGUAGCCGACCUGAGAGGGUGAUCGGCCACACUGGAACUGAGACACGGUCCAGACUCCUACGGGAGGCAGCAGUAGGGAAUCUUCCGCAAUGGGCGAAAGCCUGACGGAGCAACGCCGCGUGAGUGAUGAAGGUCUUCGGAUCGUAAAACUCUGUUAUUAGGGAAGAACAUACGUGUAAGUAACUGUGCACGUCUUGACGGUACCUAAUCAGAAAGCCACGGCUAACUACGUGCCAGCAGCCGCGGUAAUACGUAGGUGGCAAGCGUUAUCCGGAAUUAUUGGGCGUAAAGCGCGCGUAGGCGGUUUUUUAAGUCUGAUGUGAAAGCCCACGGCUCAACCGUGGAGGGUCAUUGGAAACUGGAAAACUUGAGUGCAGAAAGAGGAAAGUGGAAUUCCAUGUGUAGCGGUGAAAUGCGCAGAGAUAUGGAGGAACACCAGUGGCGAAGGCGACUUUCUGGUCUGUAACUGACGCUGAUGUGCGAAAGCGGUGGGGGAUCAAACAGGAUUAGAUACCCUGGUAGUCCACGCCGUAAACGAUGAGUGCUAAGUGUUAGGGGGUUUCCGCCCCUUAGUGCUGCACUAACGCAUUAAGCACUCCGCCUGGGGGAGUAUGACCGCAAGGUUGAAACUCAUAGUGAAUUGACGGGGGACCCGCACCAAGCGGUCGAGCAUGUGGUUUAUCUCUAAGCA
rnacentral:rRNA from 1 species